rnacentral:rRNA from 1 species
AAGUCGUAACAAGGUUUCCGUAGGUGAACCUGCGGAAGGAUCAUUAAAGAAUACCGGCUUCGCAGCCAAUAUUCUCGCCCUCUGUAUACCAAACUUUGUUGCUUUGGCAGGCCCCUGGCUUCAGCUGGACUGUGCCUGCCAGAGGACCCCUAACUCUUGAAUGCCUGCUGUCUGAGUACUAUCUAAAUAGUUAAAACUUUCAACAACGGAUCUCUUGGUUCUGGCAUCGAUGAAGAACGCAGCGAAAUGCGAUAAGUAAUGCGAAUUGCAGAAUUCAGUGAGUCAUCGAAUCUUUGAACGCAUAUUGCGCCCUUUGGCAUUCCGAAGGGCAUGCCUGUUCGAGCGUCAUUAUCAACCAUCAAGCAUGGCUUGUCGUUGGACUCUUGUUGCUGUAACAUGCGACAAGUCCGAAAGAUAAUGACGGGUGUCGUGUUAGACCCUCGAUGCAACGAGCUCUUAGUAGCACGCAUCGAACGUGGUCUGCCGCCCCGGUCUACACCUCUAUUUUCUUCAAGUUGACCUCGGAUCAGGUAGGAAUACCCGCUGAACUUAA